GUGCAAGCCGUACGCGUUCGCGCGUCUAGGUGAAACCGCGAAAGGCUCAUUAAAUCAGUUAUGGUUCCUUGGAUCGUACCAUCCCUUUACUUGGAUAACUGUGGUAAUUCUAGAGCUAAUACAUGCCGACAGAGUUCCGACCGCCUCGCGCGGGAGGAACGCUUUUAUUAGAUCAAAACCCAUCGGCACGACCAAGUGGUGACUCUGAAUAACUUUGUGCUGAUCGCACGGUCUCAGCGCUGGCGAUGCAUCUUUCAAAUGUCUGCCUUAUCAACUGUCGAUGGUAGGUUAUGCGCCUACCAUGGUGGUAACGGGUGACGGGGGAUCAGGGUUCGAUCCCGGAGAGGGAGCCUGAGAAACGGCUACCACAUCCAAGGAAGGCAGCAGGCACGCAAAUUACCCACUCCCAGCUCAGGGGAGGUAGUGACGAAAUAUAACGAUACGGGACUCAUCCGAGGCCUCGUAAUCGGAAUGAGUACACUUUAAAACGUUUAACGAGG
rnacentral:rRNA from 1 species